ensembl:lncRNA
GUCAAAUCCACAUACAUGACGUAACGUCCCCUCCCACAUUUUCUCGCCUCUUUUGUACCAUCAUGGCGGCAGCCGGGAGAUAUAACCGCAUGGCAGCGUCUCAACCGGGGUUUUUGCCUCUUAAAUCGAAUCUGGAUGGCAGCUUUUCGUAUUUCAAACGGCGAAAGCGCGUGAACAAAAAUAAGAAAAAGAACUGGAAUAAAUUCCGUGAUAUCCAGGAUGUGGAGGAGUUUCUGGAUGAUGUACAGCUUCAGGAGAGAGCCACAGGAUGACUUUCUCUUCUUUGUGGACACUGGUGAAACAGAUGGAAAAGAUACACAACAACGUAAGUGUAAAACCUCUUCUCUUUAUAUACUAAGUAAUCGUUUUUUUUUUCCUGUGCAAUCCAUAACUGCUAUUCUUUUUAUUAGAGACAACAGUCAAGAAAGGUAAAAACUUGAAACCUUUGUGGAUGGAUCUAAUUCUUCAGCUGGAUUCCCACAUACCUGGCCCAAAAAAGUGAGUACAGUACGACUCUGCUGCCUGUAAGAUCUACAUUCAGUGACUGUAACAUGCUCUUCUCAAGGGAGCUUCUGCCCACUGAUGAUC